rnacentral:rRNA from 1 species
CUACGGGGUGCUGCAGUGGGGAAUAUUGCACAAUGGGCGCAAGCCUGAUGCAGCAACGCCGCGUGAGGGAUGAAGGCCUUCGGGUUGUAAACCUCUUUUAGCAGGGAAGAAGCGAAAGUGACGGUACCUGCAGAAAAAGCACCGGCUAACUACGUGCCAGCAGCCGCGGUAAUACGUAGGGUGCAAGCGUUGUCCGGAAGUAUUGGGCGUAAAGAGCUCGUAGGCGGUUUGUCACGUCUGCUGUGAAAAUCCAAGGCUCAACCUUGGACUUGCAGUGGGUACGGGCAGGCUAGAGUGCGGUAGGGGAGAUGGGAAUUCCUGGUGUAGCGGUGGAAUGCGCAGAUAUCAGGAGGAACACCAAUGGCGAAGGCACAUCUCUGGGCCGUAACUGACGCUGAGGAGCGAAAGCGUGGGGAGCGAACAGGAUUAGAUACCCUUGUAGUC